GACGAACGCUGGCGGCGUGCUUAACACAUGCAAGUCGAACGGAAAGGCCCUGCUUUUGUGGGGUGCUCGAGUGGCGAACGGGUGAGUAACACGUGAGUAACCUGCCCUUGACUUUGGGAUAACUUCAGGAAACUGGGGCUAAUACCGGAUAGGAGCUCCUGCUGCAUGGUGGGGGUUGGAAAGUUUCGGCGGUUGGGGAUGGACUCGCGGCUUAUCAGCUUGUUGGUGGGGUAGUGGCUUACCAAGGCUUUGACGGGUAGCCGGCCUGAGAGGGUGACCGGCCACAUGGGGACUGAGAUACGGCCCAGACGCCUACGGUAGGCAGCAGUGGGGAAUAUUGCACAAUGGGCGGAAGCCUGAUGCAGCAACGCCGCGUGCGGGAUGACGGCCUUCGGGUUGUAAACCGCUUUCGCCUGUGACGAAGCGUGAGUGACGGUAAUAGGUAAAGAAGCACCGGCUAACUACGUG
rnacentral:rRNA from 1 species